rnacentral:misc_RNA from 1 species
AACCUAGCACACCUGCGGUGUGUACCUGCGGAAGGAUCACUACCGAGUUUACAAACUCCCAACCCUUUGUGAACCUUACCAUAUUGUUGCUUCGGCGGGACCGCCCCGGCGCCUUCGGGCCCGGAACCAGGCGCCCGCCGGAGGCCCCAAACUCUUAUGUCUUUAGUGGUUUUCUCCUCUGAGUGACACAUAAACAAAUAAAUAAAAACUUUCAACAACGGAUCUCAGAUCGGAAGAGCA